GGGUCCAUUGUGAACUGUGGUUGUGAAUCAGUUUUUCUAGUGUGGCAGACUAAACUUGGAAUUUAAAUUGGUUGUAUAAAGUCUGCUGAGCUGAAGAAUUCAGGCUGAAAUUCUAUUUUUUUUUGUUCAUUACUUUUCAUUGGAUUCUUUUUAUUAACUUGCCUUUCUCAUAUAUUUUUUUUGUGUUAUGUGUGUUUUUGCAUAGCAGAGAUUGAAGACGACAGCGUAAGGCAGUCUGUAUUUUGCUUUCACUAAAAUCAUGGGUGUAGAUGUGGAAUCUAAGUUGGCUCAUGUAUCGGUUGAAACUGGAAGUGAGAAAGCUCCUGGCCUGGUGGUUUGAAGGAAAAUGUUGG